AUGCUGGAGUCCCUGCAUUGGAUUGUUUACAAAGAAAAUAGUGUCUACAGCUUGGAAUGGGAGAAGUUAAUGGGAGAAUUUCAAGAAGAGUUGUUGGAAAACAUGCCACAGAAAACAAACAAGCAAAUAAAGAAAAACUUUAAAGAACAGUAUAAGAACGGUUAUCAACUAAAGAAAUAUAAAUUAACUAGAUGGAUGGUGGAUCCCUUUGCACUAUGCUGCAGUACUCUGCUGGAUAGAAGCUCAGUAUAUAAAAUGUGGCACAGUGGAGAUUCUGGCCAACAAGAUUUCUUGAGCUUUUCUACAGUCAGGAGUAACUGAAGCACAGGUGCUGAAACAGACAUCAAGAUUAUAUAUAAACAAUUGCAGAAAUGAACCCGUAUCUCUCAACUGCCAACACACAUAAUCAUGUUUGAGCACAGCAGCAAGCCUUAGCACAAGAAUGGGCACCAGGUGGAAUGUGCACUCAUCAGACAAAUGAGGUCUAGUCACUCCAUUACCAUUAAUUACAGUUUUAGUGGUUUGAAAUUGAGGCAGCUCAUGAAACCGAAUUUCUUAUGAAAAAAAACAAAAAAACAAAAAACAAGUUCAUAGACAGAUUACCUUGAAUGAACCCUGUGAUUUUAUGAUCUUAACUCCUUCUCUGAGUAGAGGAAUUCCAGCAUGAGCUCUUACCAUCACUGGAGACAAAUAUUUAUUAGAGACCGGAUAGAGAUGUUUUUGAGAGAAAUCUGUUACUGAUGAUUAGCAGAGAUGAUGAUGAUUCCCUACCUUGUUUACUUAGGGCAUGAGGUUUAGACCUCCAAAUAUCCAAAGAAGACAGAAAAAAAAAAAAAAAAUUAAAAAAGAUUAAAAAAAUUGGCAAUAUUACGGGUUUUGCCCUAUUAUUUUUAUUUUUAUUUUUUUUAAAAUUUAACUUAAUGCAGCUAUUUCUAUAGCAUCAGGAAAUGUUACCUGUAUGUAGUAAUUUUCCAGAAAUAUAGAAUUAGAGAUUUUAUUUUCAUUUAUUUGUGUGUUUUGCAUUAGUUACAUUUCACCCAUUCUGAGGUUUUGAAAAAACUUUGUACUUUUUCUCCUGACAGAAUCAACAUCUGGCAAGGACAGAGGAUUUUCAAUGUUUGUUCUGAUUUUGAGAAAUGCAGCUGUGGCACUGUGUUUACCACCUCGCUUUACUCUUCUGAAACCUAAAGAAAAAAAAACAAACACAAAAAACAAACAGAAAGAAAAAAAAGGAAAAGGGAGGAAAAAAAAGAGAAAAAUAAAGAAGUUGUUUAAAAUCA
rnacentral:lncRNA from 1 species